rnacentral:rRNA from 1 species
CGAGCGCAACCCUUGUCCUUAGUUACCAGCACGUUAUGGUGGGCACUCUAAGGAGACUGCCGGUGACAAACCGGAGGAAGGUGGGGAUGACGUCAAGUCAUCAUGGCCCUUACGGCCUGGGCUACACACGUGCUACAAUGGUCGGUACAGAGGGUUGCCAAGCCGCGAGGUGGAGCUAAUCCCACAAAACCGAUCGUAGUCCGGAUCGCAGUCUGCAACUCGACUGCGUGAAGUCGGAAUCGCUAGUAAUCGCGAAUCAGAAUGUCGCGGUGAAUACGUUCCCGGGCCUUGUACACACCGCCCGUCACACCAUGGGAGUGGGUUGCACCAGAAGUAGCUAGUCUAACCUUCGGGAGGACGGUU